UACAGAGGGGGCAAGCGUUGUUCGGAAUUACUGGGCGUAAAGGGCGCGUAGGCGGCCUGUUAAGUCGAACGUGAAAUCCCCGGGCUCAACCCGGGAACUGCGUCCGAUACUGGCAGGCUUGAAUCCGGGAGAGGGAUGCGGAAUUCCAGGUGUAGCGGUGAAAUGCGUAGAUAUCAGGAGGAACACCGGUGGCGAAGGCGGGCCUCUGGGCAGUAACUGACGCUGAGACGCGAAAGCGUGGGGAGCAAACAGG
rnacentral:rRNA from 1 species